GUGUCAGCCGCCGCGGUAAUACGAACUGUGCGAACGUUAUUCGGAAUCACUGGGCUUAAAGGGUGCGUAGGCGGUUUUCUAAGUCACGUGUGAAAUCUUCCGGCUCAACCGGAAAACUGCGCGUGAUACUGGAUAACUUGAGUGAGGUAGGGGUGUGUGGAACUUCCGGUGGAGCGGUGAAAUGUGUAGAGAUCGGAAGGAACGCCAGCAGCGAAAGCGGCACACUGGGCCUUAUCUGACGCUGAGGCACGAAAGCUAGGGGAGUGAACGGGAUUAGAUACCCCGGUAAUCCUAGCCGUAAACACUGAACACUGGAGGACGGGGGCUUCGGCCUUCGUUCUCGUAGCGAAAGCGUUAAGUGUUCCGCCUGGGGAGUAUGGUCGCAAGGCUGAA
rnacentral:rRNA from 1 species